GACGCCCCGGGAGUGACGGGAGGCGCGCGAGCGCUCCUCCCGCACUCCCGGGGCGUCUGAUUCCUCUCUUUGAGGGAAGGCGCACCCAGAGCGCACACGUUGGGACCCCAAAGAUGGAGAACUAU
rnacentral:rRNA from 1 species